rnacentral:rRNA from 1 species
AUGGACCGAGCUCCCUCCUCUGCCCAAGAAGCAGCCGAGCUCCCUCCUACGCCCAAGAAGCAGCCGAACUCCCUCCUCCGCCCAAGAAGCAGUCGAGNNNNNNNNNNNNNNNNNGAAGCAGCCGAACUCCCUCCUCCACCCAAGAAGCAGCCGAGCUCCCUCCUCCGCCCAAGAAGCAGCCAGGGAAGCAGCACCGACGACCGGAACAACAUGGCGGAUCCAAAUCGCCAGUCUCCUCUGUCCAGAGCUGAACUGAGUGGCUGCCCCCAUGAGAGGACACGGGCACAACCAAACCCACACACACCAGACACGCGUGCAUGGUGGCUUAUCCGGUGGGAGACUACCGCUUGCUCCCGCUGA